rnacentral:lncRNA from 1 species
UGAGAGAAACUUCUUUUCUCUUGCACCUCUACAGUUGAAGACAUGGACAGCUUCCUUGCCAAGUACCUUGCUAUGGGGCUUGCUACAGCACUCGUUGCGCUAAUAGUUGCCCCCUACAGCGCCGAAGCGUUUCCUCCUCCGAGCAUAAUAGAAGCCGCUGCAAAGGCACUUGAAAACUUCUUCGGAAGGAACGAGGAAAACUCCAAGGAGUGAAGAGUGUGUCAUCGUGUACUUACGUGGAGAUUCUGCGAUCCUCGAAACUACAAGCCUGAUAAAUUUCAAUAAACUGAAAUAAGCAGA